rnacentral:rRNA from 1 species
GAAGCCGGAAUUGCUAGUAAUGGCAGGUCAGCAUACUGCCGUGAAUACGUUACCCGGGCCUUGUACACACCGCCCGUCACACCAUGAGAGUUGGGGAUACCCGAAGCCUGUGAGCUAACUAUUUAUAGGAGCAGCAGUCGAAGGUAGAAUCAAUGAUUGGGGUGAAGUCGUAACAAGGUACC